UGGUACUACAAUGAACUUGCUUCAAUUAUCAUCACAACUUCAACGUGUGGAGGAUCAAAGGCAAUCCAUCCAUUUGAAGGAGCAAAAUGAUGUUUUCGGUUGUCGUGGCAUCACUUGAGCAUUCCAAGACAAGGUACAAGGAAAUCCUUGAAACCUUCAUUUGCUUGAUGGGGAAAAACUCUGGCUUUUGUCUUGCCCAUUUUGGAAUCUCUGACGAAUGGGCCUGCAAAAACCUCAAGGAAGACAGGAUGUGGUAGGCCACCAAGUGUUUUGGAGCUUUUACCUACUAGGGAAUUGGCCAAGCAGGUGUUUCCUGAUUUUGAAGUUUAUGGUGGAGGAGUGGGCUUAACAUCAUGUUGUUUGUAUGGUGGAGCUCACUAUCAUGCUCAGGAAAGCCAAUUGAGGAGACGGGUUGAUAUAGUGAUUGGAACACCUGGCCGUGUGAAAGAUCACAUUGAGAGGGAAAAUAUUGACUUGAGCUCUUUAACCUUCCGUGUCCUUGAUGAGGCGGAUGAAAUGCUAAGGAUGGAUUUUGUUGAAGAUGUGGAGCUAAUUCUUGGCGUGUGUGUACUAAUUUUUUUUCACUAUGGAGUCGGUGGAAAUAUGCUUUACUCAUCUAUUGCAAUUACAAUUAUUGUUAGUGAUGUUAUAUUUUGAAAUUUGACAAUAGAUCUUUCAGUUUCAGCAUCAUGCAGCUGCUUAGAACUUUUU